rnacentral:rRNA from 1 species
GACGAACGCUGGCGGCGUGCCUAAUACAUGCAAGUUGAGCGCUGAAGGUUGGUACUUGUACCGACUGGAUGAGCAGCGAACGGGUGAGUAACGCGUGGGGAAUCUGCCUUUGAGCGGGGGACAACAUUUGGAAACGAAUGCUAAUACCGCAUAAAAACUUUAAACACAAGUUUUAAGUUUGAAAGAUGCAAUUGCAUCACUCAAAGAUGAUCCCGCGUUGUAUUAGCUAGUUGGUGAGGUAAAGGCUCACCAAGGCGAUGAUACAUAGCCGACCUGAGAGGGUGAUCGGCCACAUUGGGACUGUGACACGGCCCAAACUCCUACGGGAGGCAGCAGCAGGGAAUCUUCGGCAAUGGACGAAAGUCUGACCGAGCAACGCCGCGUGAGUGAAGAAGGUUUUCGGAUCGUAAAACUCUGUUGGUAGAGAAGAACGUUGGUGAGAGUGGAAAGCUCAUCAAGUGACGGUAACUACCCAGAAAGGGACGGCUAACUACGUG